rnacentral:snRNA from 1 species
AGCGGCGCGCUCGGUCGAAGAGGACGACCUUCCCCCCCGAGGAGAGGACCGGUCUUCGGUCAAGGGUAUAUGAGUAGCUGCGCUCCCCUGCUAGAACCUCCAAACAAGCUCUCAAAAAGGCACUUUCGAAUAUUCCAUUUGAGUCUCUUAACUACGGAGUAAGGGGUAAAAUAUACAUUAUCCCCAGUAU